AGCGAACGCUGGCGGCAGGCCUAACACAUGCAAGUCGAACGAACUCUUCGGAGUUAGUGGCGGACGGGUGAGUAACACGUGGGAACGUGCCUUUAGGUUCGGAAUAACUCAGGGAAACUUGUGCUAAUACCGAAUGUGCCCUUCGGGGGAAAGAUUUAUUGCCUUUAGAGCGGCCCGCGUCUGAUUAGUUAGUUGGUGAGGUAAAGGCUCACCAAGGCGACGAUCAAGAGCUGGUCUGAGAGGAUGAUCAGCCACAUUGGGACUGAGACACGGCCCAAACUCCUACGGGAGGCAGCAGUGGGGAAUCUUGCGCAAUGGGCGAAAGCCUGACGCAGCCAUGCCGCGUGAAUGAUGAAGGUCUUAGGAUUGUAAAAUUCUUUCACCGGGGACGAUAAUGACGGUACCCGGAGAAGAAGCCCCGGCUAACUUCGUGCCAGCAGCCGCGGUAAGAC
rnacentral:rRNA from 1 species